UACGGGGGGGGGCAAGCGUUGUUCGGAAUUACUGGGCGUAAAGGGCUCGUAGGCGGCCAACUAAGUCAUACGUGAAAUCCCUCGGCUUAACCGGGGAACUGCGUCUGAUACUGGAUGGCUUGAGAUUGGGAGAGGGAUGCGGAAUUCCAGGUGUAGCGGUGAAAUGCGUAGAUAUCGGGAGGAACACCUGUGGCGAAAGCGGCGCACUGGACCACAACUGACGCUGAGGCGCGAAAGCUAGGGGAGCAAACAGG
rnacentral:rRNA from 1 species